rnacentral:misc_RNA from 1 species
UUUUUAAUUAAAAACUAGAAUGAAAGGUUAUACAUUCAAAUUUCUUUAUUAAUUUUUAAUAAAUAAUUUAUAUUAAAUAUAAAAAUGUAUUUAUAAAAAAAAAAGACGACAAGACCCUAUUAAAUUUUACUUAUAGUUUAGCUGGGGAAGCUUUUCAAUUAAAAUUUUUUAAAUUAAAUAAAUAAAAAUCUAAUAAAAUUAAAAUUUUAAUAAAUUACUAUAGGGAUAACAGCAUUAUAUUUUUUAAAAGUUCAUAUUAAAAAAAAUGAUUGUGACCUCGAUGUUGAAUUAUAUUUUCUAUAUUAAAUGCAAUAAUUAUAAAAGUAGAUCUGUUCGAUCUUUAAAAUAUUACAUGAUUUGAGUUCAAACCGGUGUAAACCAGGUUGGUUUCUAUCUUUUUAUAUAUUUUUCCAGUACGAAAGGACAAAAAAAUUUUUAUUUUAAUAAAUUAGCAAAUAAAUGCAUUAGAUUUAGAAUCUAAAUAUAUUUAAUAAUU